rnacentral:rRNA from 1 species
GUCCACGCCAUAAACGAUGUCAACUGGUUGUUGGGAAGGUUCCUUCUCAGUAACGUAGCUAACGCGUGAAGUUGACCGCCUGGGGAGUACGGCCGCAAGGUUGAAACUCAAAGGAAUUGACGGGACCCGCACAAGCGGUGGAUGAUGUGGUUUAAUUCGAUGCAACGCGAAAACCUUACCUACCCUUGACAUGUCAAGAAUUUCGCAGAGAUGUGGAAGUGCUCGAAAGAGAACUUGAACACAGGUGCUGCAUGGCCGUCGU